rnacentral:rRNA from 1 species
UNUGACUUGAGUGCAGAAGGGGAGAGUGGAAUUCCAUGUGUAGCGGUGAAAUGCGUAGAUAUAUGGAGGAACACCAGUGGCGAAAGCGGCUCUCUGGUCUGUCACUGACGCUGAGGCUCGAAAGCGUGGGUAGCGAACAGGAUUAGAUACCCUGGUAGUCCACGCCGUAAACGAUGAGUGCUAGGUGUUAGGCCCUUUCCGGGGCUUAGUGCCGGAGCUAACGCAAUAAGCACUCCGCCUGGGGAGUACGACCGCAAGGUUGAAACUCAAAGGAAUUGACGGGGGCCCGCACAAGCGGUGGAGCAUGUGGUUUAAUUCGAAGCAACGCGAAGAACCUUACCAGGUCUUGACAUCCCGAUGCUAUUCUUAGAGAUAGGAAGGUACUUCGGUACAUCGGAGACAGGUGGUGCAUGGUUGUCGUCAGCUCGUGUCGUGAGAUGUUGGGUUAAGUCCCGCAACGAGCGCAACCCUUAUUGUUAGUUGCCAUCAUUAAGUUGGGCACUCUAGCGAGACUGCCGGUAAUAAACCGGAGGAAGGUGGGGAUGACGUCAAAUCAUCAUGCCCCUUAUGACCUGGGCUACACACGUGCUACAAUGGUCGGUACAACGAGUUGCGAGCCGGUGACGGCAAGCUAAUCUCUGAAAGCCGAUCUCAGUCCGGAUUGGAGGCUGCAACUCGCCUCCAUGAAGUCGGAAUCGCUAGUAAUCGCGGAUCAGCACGCCGCGGUGAAUACGUUCCCGGGCCUUGUACACACCGCCCGUCACACCACGAGAGUUUGUAACACCCGAAGUCGGUGAGGUAACCUUUUAGGGGCCAGCCGCCU